AGUGAACGCUGGCGGUAGGCCUAACACAUGCGAGUCGAACGGCAGCACAGUAAGAGUUUGCCCUUACGGGUGGCGAGUGGCGGACGAGUGAGGAAUACAUCGGAACCGUCUUUUUCUUGGGUGAUAACGUAGGGAAACUUACUCUAAUACCGCAUACGACCUACCGGUGAAAGCAGGAGAUCUUCAGACCUUGCGCGAUACAAUGAGCCGAGGUCGGAUUAGCUAGUUGGCGGGGUAAAGGCCCACCAAGGCGACGAUCCGUAGCUGAUCUGAGGGGAUGAUCGGCCACAGUGGAACUGAGACACGGUCCAGACUCCUACGGGAGGCAGCAGUUGGGAAUUUUGGGCAAUGGGCGCAAGCCUGAUCCAGCAAUACCGCGUGAGUGAAGAAGGUCUUCGGGUUGUAAAGCCCUGUUGUUAGGAAAGAAAAGCAGCAGGUGAAUAUCUCGAUGUUCUGACGGUACCCAAACAGUAAGCACCGGCUAACUACGUG
rnacentral:rRNA from 1 species